rnacentral:rRNA from 1 species
CAAUAGCGUAUAUUAACGUUGUUGCAGUUAAAAAGCUCGUAGUUGGAUUUCUGGAGGGAGCGUCGGCCCGUAUUUACGAGUGCGUGACGUCUCUGUCCAUCCUUGCGGGAAGGCACGGCAUUGAUUUGUUGUGUCGGAUCGCAUCAUUUACUGUGAAAAAAUUAGAGUGUUCAAAGCAGGCUUUCGCUUGAAUACAUUAGCAUGGAAUAAUAAGAUAGGACUUUGGUGCUAUUUUGUUGGUUGAGCCUAAGUAAUGAUUAAUAGGGAUAGUUGGGGGCACCUGUAUUGCGUUGUCAGAGGUGAAAUUCUUGGAUUUACGCAAGACAAACAGCUGCGAAAGCGUCUGCCAAGGAUGUUUUCAUUAA